AGAGUUUGAUCCUGGCUCAGAUUGAACGCUGGCGGCAUGCCUAACACAUGCAAGUCGAACGGAAACGAUGCUAGCUUGCUAGCAGGCGUCGAGUGGCGGACGGGUGAGUAAUGCAUAGGAAUCUACCUAGUAGCGGGGGACAACCUGGUGAAAACCAGGCUAAUACCGCAUAAUCCCUACGGGGCAAAGCAGGGGACCUUCGGGCCUUGCACUAUUAGAUGAGCCUAUGUCGGAUUAGCUUGUUGGUGAGGUAAUGGCUCACCAAGGCGACGAUCCGUAGCUGGUUUGAGAGGAUGAUCAGCCACACUGGGACUGAGACACGGCCCAGACUCCUACGGGAGGCAGCAGUGGGGAAUAUUGCACAAUGGAGGAAACUCUGAUGCAGCAAUGCCGCGUGUGUGAAGAAGGCCUUAGGGUUGUAAAGCACUUUCAGACGUGAGGAAAAGUUAAGUCUUAAUACGGCUUAACCCUGACGUUAACGUCAGAAGAAGCACCGGCUAACUCCGUGCCAGCAGCCGCGGUAAUACGGAGGGUGCAAGCGUUAAUCGGAAUUACUGGGCGUAAAGCGCGCGUAGGCGGUUAAAUAAGUCAGAUGUGAAAGCCCCGGGCUCAACCUGGGAACUGCAUUUGAAACUGUUUAGCUAGAGUGUGGUAGAGGAGAGUGGAAUUUCAGUGUAGCGGUGAAAUGCGUAGAUAUCUGAAGGAACAUCAGUGGCGAAAGCGGCUCUCUGGACCAACACUGACGCUGAGUGCGAAAGCGUGGGUAGCAAACGGGAUUAGAUACCCCGGUAGUCCACGCCGUAAACGAUGUCAACUAACCGUUGGGCGGGUUUCCGCUUAGUGUGCAGCUAACGCAAUAAGUUGACCGCCUGGGGAGUACGGCCGCAAGGCUAAACUCAAAUGAAUUGACGGGGCCGCACAAGCGGUGGAGCAUGGGGUUUAAUUCGAUGCACGCGAAGAACCUUACCUACCCUUGACAUACAGAAGACUUUCUAGAGAUAGAUGGUGCCUCGGAACCUCUUGAUACAGGGCUGCCAUGCUGUCGUCAGCUCUGUGCGGGGAUGUGUGGGUUAGUCCGUACAGAGCGCACCCUUAUUCCUUAUUGCUUACCACUAUUGGGACUCUCACGAGACUGCCGCUGCAUAACACGCACAGAUGACACUCAGACAUCUUGGUCCUACGUAGUACCGUCUCAUUGCUGUCAAGGGUGCAUCAGACAGCAACCUAAACAGUCUUAUUC
rnacentral:rRNA from 1 species